GACGAACGCUGGCGGCGUGCUUAACACAUGCAAGUCGAACGGAACGGCCCUGCUUUUGUGGGGUGCUCGAGUGGCGAACGGGUGAGCAACACGUGAGUACCCUGUAAUUGACUUUGGGAUAUCUUCAGGCAACUGGGGCUAAUACCGGCUAGGAGCUAUUGCUGCUUGGUGGGGGCUGGAUAGUUUCGCUGGUUGGGGAUGGACUCGCGGCUUAUCAGCAUGAUCGUUUGGUAGUGGCUUACCAAGCCUUUGACGGGUAGCCGGCCUGGGAGGGGGACCGGCCACGUUAGGACUGGGAUACGACCCGGACUACUACGGGAGGCAGCAGUGGAGAAGAUAACACAGGGGGCGGAAGCCUGAUGCAGCAACGCCGCGUGGGGUGUGACAGCAUUCGGUUUGGAAACCGCAUUCGCCUGUGACGGGACGUGAGUGACGGUAAUGGGUAAAGAAGCUCCGGCUAACUACGUG
rnacentral:rRNA from 1 species